GUGGGGAAUUUUGGACAAUGGGCGCAAGCCUGAUCCAGCAAUGCCGCGUGCAGGAAGAAGGCCUUCGGGUUGUAAACUGCUUUUGUACGGAACGAAACGGUCCUGGUUAAUACCCGGGGCUAAUGACGGUACCGUAAGAAUAAGCACCGGCUAACUACGUGCCAGCAGCCGCGGUAAUACGUAGGGUGCAAGCGUUAAUCGGAAUUACUGGGCGUAAAGCGUGCGCAGGCGGUGCUGUAAGACAGGCGUGAAAUCCCCGGGCUUAACCUGGGAAUUGCGCUUGUGACUGCAGUGCUGGAGUGCGGCAGAGGGGGAUGGAAUUCCGCGUGUAGCAGUGAAAUGCGUAGAUAUGCGGAGGAACACCGAUGGCGAAGGCAAUCCCCUGGGCCUGCACUGACGCUCAUGCACGAAAGCGUGGGGAGCAAACAGGAUUAGAUACCCGGGUAGUCC
rnacentral:rRNA from 1 species